GUCUCUUUGUAUUAAGUAUAUUAAAUAUAGAGAGUCGGACCUGCCCGGUGACUAUAUUGUUAAACGGCCGCGGUACCCUAACCGUGCAAAGGUAGCAUAAUCAUUUGCCUUUUAAUUGGAGGCUGGUAUGAAUGGUUUGACGAGAGCUAAGCUGUCUCUUUUGAAAUAUAUAAAAAUUAACUUUUAGGUGAAGAGGCCUAAAUUUAUUUAAGGGACAAGAAGACCCUGUUGAGCUUUAGUGGAAUUAUAAAUAUUUAGUGUCUAGGUGACUUUGGUGUAUACUGAUGUAUAACUGUAAUUUGUAAUUAAUCUUUAGUUGGGGCGACUGAGGAACAUAAAAAGCUUCCUUACAGUAAAUUGACUAAUUUUAGCAAGGAUUAUUUUGAUGCUAUCAUGUUAUUUUGAUCCAAAUUGUUUUGAUUAAGGGAAAAAGUUACCACAGGGAUAACAGCGUAAUCUUUCUGGAGAGAUCUUAUCGAAAGAAGGGUUUGCGACCUCGAUGUUGGACUAAGAUAUCCUAAGGGUGUAGAAGUUCUUAAAGGUUGGUCUGUUCGACCAUUAAAAUCUU
rnacentral:rRNA from 1 species